rnacentral:rRNA from 1 species
UACAGAGGGUGCGAGCGUUAAUCGGAAUUACUGGGCGUAAAGCGCGCGUAGGCGGCUUUGCAAGCCGGAUGUGAAAUCCCCGGGCUUAACCUGGGAACUGCAUUCGGGACUGCAUUGCUAGAGUAUGGGAGAGGGAAGUGGAAUUUCAGGUGUAGCGGUGAAAUGCGUAGAUAUCUGAAGGAACAUCAGUGACGAAAGCGACUUCCUGGACCAAUACUGACGCUCAUGUGCGAAAGCGUGGGGAGCAAACAGG